rnacentral:rRNA from 3 species
UACGUAGGUGGCAAGCGUUGUCCGGAAUUACUGGGUGUAAAGGGAGCGCAGGCGGAACUGCAAGUUGGGUGUUUAAUCUACGGGCUCAACCCGUAUCAGCAUUCAAAACUGUGGUUCUUGAGUAAUGCAGAGGUAGGCGGAAUUCCCGGUGUAGCGGUGGAAUGCGUAGAUAUCGGGAGGAACACCAGUGGCGAAGGCGGCCUACUGGGCAUCAACUGACGCUGAGGCUCGAAAGCAUGGGUAGCAAACAGG